GAUGAAUUGUGGACAAACAGAAGAACAAACAACUAUAAGAGAUCUUAUUAAUGACCUAAAAUCUGAAAGAGGUCCUGCUUUAAUAAAGGGAUUAGUACACGCCAAUAUAUACUUCGAAUGUCCGGGUACCGACUGUAUAGCGGAAAAUGGACUUACCGGAAGGCAGAU